GUUCUUUGCGAGGCUUCUGAGUCAGAAGCCUGGACGGGCCAGCUGCAGUCUUAAUGAACUGACUCAGGAAGGAGGUGCUUACAGAGAUGGUGUACCGUGCAGUCAGUGGGUGGGAGCAAAUGUCGGCUAGAAAACCUGAGCCUUGUGAAGGGGCGGCCUGAUUCCCGGGGAAGAGCAUUGGCUGGAAGUCGGGAGGCCUGGGCUAGUCUCUGCUCUGCCACUAACUUGCUGCAUGACUUUGAGCCAGAAAAAGAGGGAUCACUCACCCAUUCUCCGUCAGAUACUAAGCUGCUGACUGCCUCAAGGAUGAACUUCUCUCCCUUGUCUUUCCAGGCUUGGCCAGAUAGGUAGAGAGCACAUGGACGAACAUUUACCGUGUCAGGCAUGGAGCAGAUUGCCUUAUAUAAUUUUCUCAUCUAAUUCUCAGGACCACCCUCUGAAGCAGGAACUAUUGUUACCUCUGCUUUAUAGACAAAGCGACCUAAGGAACCGAAAGCAUCCAGUUCAGCACCUGGCCCGCAGCAGACACUCAGUGAAUGUUGAUUUGAGCAAACGAACUAAUAGAAAGAAAUGUCUCCUGUAAUUGCUUCUUACCAAUCUAGCCAACAACGGCAGCAUUGUGGAUGGAGGCACCAGAGAACACAUCAUCUCUGGCUUUUUGCUGCAGAUCUACAUGGAGAAUCACACAUGGGGCAACAAAGAUUCUCAAGGCCAGAUCUCGCAGAAAUGUCUGAAAGGAAACUUUAAAAAAUGAAUACGUACGGGUUUUUUGUCGUUGUUGUUGUUGCAGCAUUGUCUAAUAUCAUAUGACUGGAAACAACCUAAAUGUUCGUCAAUAGGGAACUAGUUAAAUAAGUUAUGGUAUAUCAUCAUACAGUGGAAUACUAUGCAGUUGUAAAAAAAAAAAGAAAGAAAGAAAGAAUAAAGAAGCAUUUGCUGACAUGGAAUGAUCUCCAAAAUAUAUUGUUAAAUGAAAAAACAAAGAUGUAGAACAAUGUAUUGUAUACUACUGUGUGUAAAAUAAGGGUGGAGGAGAAUAUCUAUGUACUUGCUUGAAUGCACGUAAAGGCAUCUCUGCAAGAGAUCUAAGAGACUGACGACACUGGGUGACAAUGGAGGACUGGGAGAAAGCAGUGGACGGGAGACUUUACGUUGCACAUUCGUUCUCUUACGCCAUUUACCUUUGUAACCAUGUGAAUGUAUUACGUGUCCAAAAAUAAAUGUAAAAAGAACGAAAUCACAGCAACCAUGGGGAACAAGAAAAAGUGAAAUAAAUUUUGAGAAAUCCGAACAAGUAAGAAAGGCAAUGACUUUGGCCUAGCAGACAGAUGAGAGCAUUGCACUGCAAUGCAAGAACUUGGAGGCGAGAGUGGGUUUUCCCAAGGAAACAUCAAGCUCAGAGACAGUAAAUGCAAAGAGCAGGGGUAGGCCGAGAGGUAACCAUCAUGGUACCUCAUUAAAGAGCUGCGGCAGAAACAGCUGGGACAGGUGGGCUCUUUCCCCCUUCUCCCUCGUCCCCCAUGAACCCUUAGCAGCAGCAUUUGGCCUUUGCCCUCAGGCUAAAGUUGCCCCAGGAGGGCUCUGGGGAGGGUGCUAAGACCUCCACGAAAGACAGGAAAAAGAAAACAAAAGAAAAACCAGCAUCAGUCAAGAGUGAAACCCUCUACAGGGCUUCACCCCAGAGAAAAGCCCUCCCGGUUUCAUCGGUUGUGGGGGUCCCUGGCCUUCCUGCCUCUCCACCCACAUAACCUAAAGGGAAGCCUGCCUGUUGACAGGCUCCACCCACUGA